rnacentral:rRNA from 1 species
UAAAAUGUAAUAAAAUUGUAUAGAUUAGAUUUAAAUAAUUGAAAAUUAAGUCAUAUGGCGGUUAUGAAUCCCAAUUAGAGAGACAUGUUUAGUAAUCGAUGGUGCACGAAAAUCUUACCAAACUUUGUUUAUUUCGCACACCGCCGUCGGAAGAAAUAGAUUAAUUUUUAUUUCUUGAAUUAUUAAUAAAUGUUAAGUCAGGUCAAGGUACGGAUAAUAGUUUGGAUGAAAUGUGUUUUAGUAUAAAAAUUUCAAAUUAUUUUUGAAAUAAAAUAUGAAGUAAAAUUUAACAGUAGAUUAAAAUAAUAAAGUUUAAUCGAACAAGGCUCUUUUUAGUGUA